GGGAGACCCCUCCAUUUUGUCUUCAGCUGGAUAAAGAGAUAGCCUCUCCACCCCCAAGGAUACCUGAAAAAAACUGGAACAAAGGAGAGUAACUACAGGGGCUGUGAGUGAUUGCUGAACCUAGACUAGAAGGAGACUAAAAGGAAGCUGACUGGACUUGUGCGGAAUGAACUUUGUCAUGAGCACCGUAUUGAGGUUGCAUCCCACAGACCAAACACACCAGAAGAUAUCUCACCACAAAGACACCAGAAGAUAUCACACCACAAAAUACCAGAUGAUAUCAGUAUACAGUGAAGAAGCCCCCCAAGCAUCAAGAAAAGAAAAAUGUAGUACUUUAUAAAUAAGAGACUGACCAAAUACACUUCAGUCUACCAUAUAUGAACAAUUAAGUUGGCAAUCAGCUAGAAAUCACUGACAGUUAAUUUCACUUUGGCUACUGUGUAAAAGCAACUAUUAUUGCUGUAUUACUGUAUUAUUGUUGUAGUGUUGUCUUAUUGUUGUAUUACUGUAUUAUUGUUGUAUUAUUGCUCUAUAUCAUUUACAAUGUGCAUAACAUUGCUAAACUGUUUAGCCAACACACAUGUAAAAAUUAACAAAUGAACGGCAGCAAACAACAUGAAGGCAAGGAAAAAAAAAAAAUUGGCAAAGAAAUUAAGUUACACGGUAACUACAAAUUGGGUAAACAAAUUGCCUAUUAGUACCUGUCAUAAUUUGGGUCAGUGACACUGCAACCUAACUGAGGCACAUGUUAUUCAAAACAAUCCUGAUCAGUGUCUGGACACCAGUACUCCAUCCUGACACUGCAAUACUUGCUUAAUUGGUUACUGUCCAUGCAGUAGGUUUAUCUGAAAGACAGCAUCCAUAAGAAACAACUGGAUCUACAUCAUCUACUGGUGUAUCACAGAGCAGUUCAACCAAUGGAACAGAGAAGUUGGCCACUUCUGUUUCCUGCCCAGUGAUGCUUACCACAGGGUGACAACCAGCAGUAAGGGUAACCUAUAACAUGAAUGGACAGUCCUGUGUAGUAAUUAAUUACAAUAUAUUUAUAUAUAAAGGCCUCAGGGGUAGUGUCACUACUCCAAAUUUCUCUUUUACUUCCCCUUUACAUAGCACUGUGGGACACAUUAUCACAAUCCCUAUCCAAGUAUUUCAAAACACUCAACGUACUGCUAAUAAUGAUACAGAGGGUAACUGUAAUUGCCCAAAUAAAAGUGGGUUGCUAUCUGCAGUACCACAAGGACCAAACUACACCACCAGAUUGGAAAAGAAUUGUUAUGCUUGGACAUAAAGUGCUGUUAUAUGUAAACAUACAUACUAUACAUAGAUGCCCAUUUACGCUACAAAUAUAUACGCCAUAUCCAUAUUAUUCAUUUAUAUUAAUUACUUGGGAGAAUAAGGCUCAAUCAUAAUACUACAUUCCUCAGUCAUGGUCCCAGACCUAACAUUCCCAGGCCCACCAUAAGGGACUAAAAACUAAUUGGAUAAUAAAAUCAGUCCAUCAGUCGUACGAGGGAAUGUGGACUAAAAAGACAGAUGAGGCAUGAGUGUAUGGAUGGUAACAUAAGGUAACCACAUAACAGUGUUUAGCCCACUGAGUUAUAUUUAGUCCAUGCACUAUUCUUUUCUGGGACGAUGGGUAAACAUCCUCCCCAUAAAAGACAAAAAAUGGGGGAAUGUAGUAAGAUGAGGCCCUGAAACAUAAACCCUUGUAUCAGAGGCCUGGUAUGAGGCGUAAGGCCUGAACUACAGUAACGGUCAAGACUUUGUUAACAUAAAGCCAAGUUAAGCUGUGAGCAAGAGGCAGGCCCUGCUCAGAGUCUGGCAAGGAAAGGGCUGAUGUUGCAAAAAUACACAUUCCAGAAAGGGACUGGACACGAGAGAUAGAAACAUGUGCCAGGCUGGUACCAGAACACUCCGAUACUUGCACAUUCCACACAGAUAACCAGGAGAGAGGCGGCACCCUAACGCAUAGAGGGGCUGGACCUCAAUGUGUCAGGAGUGAGAUGUAACUUGUUUGGCCCUCUGUAUAAGAAUGCACCCCUGAGCGGUUGUCUCUGUCUGGCCUAGGGGUCAGUGGAGAAUCCCGCCACUGACUGAGCCGGUCCAUUGUCAAGGAGCACAUACACUUUAAAUAGGUAUGUGGGUAAAUAGGACUAAUCCCCUGAGAUGAGAUAUUAGAUGGAUGGGAUCUGAGUUACCCAGGAAAGAAUUUUCUAUAGUAUCUGGCUGGUGAAUCUUGCCCAUAUGCUAAGGGUUUAGCUGGUCACCAUAUUUGGGGUCGGGAAGGAAUCUUCCUCCAGGGCAGAUUGGAGAGGCCCUGGAGGUUUUUCACCUUCCUCUGUAGCAUGGGGCAUGGGUCACUUGAGGGAGGCUUCUCUGCUCCUUGAAGUCUUUAAACCACGAUUUGAGGACUUCAAUAGCUCAGACAUAGGUGAGGUUUUUCGUUGGAGUGGGUGGGUGAGAUUCUGUGGCCUGCAUUGUGCAGGAGGUCGGACUAGAUGAUCAGAAUGGUCCCUUCUGACCUUAGUAUCUAUGAAUCUAUAUGUACUAGCAGAACUGCAGACAUCUGAUCCGGGGAGCUGGAGACUGUGUUUCGUUAGGCAAAAUAAACCUGGCCGGGUGCCUUCGUACCUUAUCGGAGUCUGUGGUCACUGCGGGUUCUCUCGGGGUCAGCUGUGUCAGUG